AUUGAACGCUGGCGGCAUGCUUUACACAUGCAAGUCGGACGAGUGGCGAACGGGUGAGUAACAUCUCGGAACGUACCGAGUAAUGGGGGAUAACUAAUAGACAGAUUAGCUAAUACCGCAUAUUAUUCGAGCGGCCGAUAUCUGAUUAGCUGGUUGGUGGGGUAAAGGCCUACCAAGGCGACGAUACGUAGCGGGUCUGAGAGGAUGAUCAGCCACACUGGGACUGAGACACGGCCCAGACGCCUACGGGAGGCAGCAGUGGGGAAUUUGGGACAAUGGGCGCAAGUCUGAUCCAGCCAUGCCGCGUGUAUGAAGAAGGCCUUCGGGUUGUAAAGGACUUGUGGCAGGGAAGCGGUAACUGAAGAAUAAGCACCGGCUAACUACGUGCCAGCAGCCGCGGUAAUAC
rnacentral:rRNA from 1 species